GAGCGAGUCUGCCUUGAAGAUCGGAGUGCUUGCACUCUGUGAAACAAGAUACAGGCUAGCGGCGGACGGGGUGAGUAACACGCGGGUAAACCUGCCCCAAGAGAUCGGGAUAACACCUGGAAAACAGAUGCUAAUACCGGAUAACAACAGAUGAUGCCUAUCAACUGUUUAAAAGAUGGUUCUGCUAUCGCUCUUGGAUGGACCUGCGGUGCAUUAGCUAGUUGGUAGGGGUAAACGGGCCUACCAAGGCGAUGAUGCAUAGCCGAGUUGAGAGACUGAUCGGCCACAUUGGGACUGAGACACGGCCCAAACUCCUGCGGGAGGCAGCAGUAGGGGAAUCUUCCACAAUGGACGCAAGUCUGAUGGAGCAAACGCCGCGUGAGUGAAGAAGGGUUUCGGCUCGUAAAGCUCUGUUGUUGGUGAAGAAGGACAGGGGGUAGUAACUGACCUUUGUUUGACGGUAAUCAAUUAGAAAAGUCACGGGGCUAACUACGUGCCAGCAGCCGCGGGUAAAU
rnacentral:rRNA from 1 species